UACGAAGGGGGCUAGCGUUGCUCGGAAUUACUGGGCGUAAAGGGCGCGUAGGCGGUCUGCUAAGUUGGAUGUGAAAACUCUGGGCUUAACCCAGAGCCUGCAUUCAAUACUGACAGGCUAGAGUUCUGGAGGGGGUAGCGGAAUUCCUGGUGUAGCGGUGAAAUGCGUAGAUAUCAGGAGGAACACCGGUGGCGAAGGCGGCUAUCUGGACAGAGUCUGACGCUGAGGCGCGAAAGCUAGGGGAGCAAACAGG
rnacentral:rRNA from 1 species